UGGGGAAUCUUCCGCAAUGGACGAAAGUCUGACGGAGCAACGCCGCGUGAGUGAAGAAGGUUUUCGGAUCGUAAAGCUCUGUUGUUUGAGACGAAUGUGCAGACUUUGAAUAAGGGUUUGUAAUGACGGUAUUAAACGAGAAAGCCACGGCUAACUACGUGCCAGCAGCCGCGGUAAUACGUAGGUGGCAAGCGUUGUCCGGAAUUAUUGGGCGUAAAGGGAGCGCAGGUGGGAAUGUAAGUCAGUCUUAAAAGUGCGGGGCUCAACCCCGUGAGGGGAUUGAAACUACAUUUCUUGAGUGCAGGAGAGGAAAGUGGAAUUCCUAGUGUAGCGGUGAAAUGCGUAGAGAUUAGGAGGAACACCAGUGGCGAAGGCGACUUUCUGGACUGUAACUGACACUGAGGCUCGAAAGCCAGGGGAGCGAACGG
rnacentral:rRNA from 1 species